CAACCUACGGGGGGCAGCAGUGGGGAAUAUUGGGCAAUGGGCGCAAGCCUGACCCAGCAACGCCGCGUGAAGGAAGAAGGCUUUCGGGUUGUAAACUUCUUUUAUCAGGGACGAAGCAAGUGACGGUACCUGAUGAAUAAGCCACGGCUAACUACGUGCCAGCAGCCGCGGUAAUACGUAGGUGGCAAGCGUUAUCCGGAUUUACUGGGUGUAAAGGGCGUGUAGGCGGGAGUGCAAGUCAGAUGUGAAAACUAUGGGCUCAACCCAUAGCCUUCAUUUGAAACUGUACUUCUU
rnacentral:rRNA from 1 species